rnacentral:rRNA from 1 species
AGCAACAAAUGCCCUGCUUCCAGGAAAAGCCUCUAAGCAUCAGGUAACAUCAAAUCGUACCCCAAACCGACACAGGUGGUCAGGUAGAGAAUACCAAGGCGCUUGAGAGAACUCGGGUGAAGGAACUAGGCAAAAUGGUGCCGUAACUUCGGGAGAAGGCACGCUGACACGUAGGUGAAGUGAUUUACUCAUGGAGCUGAAGUCAGUCGAAGAUACCAGCUGGCUGCAACUGUUUAUUAAAAACACAGCACUGUGCAAACACGAAAGUGGACGUAUACGGUGUGACGCCUGCCCGGUGCCGGAAGGUUAAUUGAUGGGGUCAGCGCAAGCGAAGCUCCUGAUCGAAGCCCCGGUAAACGGCGGCCGUAACUAUAACGGUCCUAAGGUAGCGAAAUUCCUUGUCGGGUAAGUUCCGACCUGCACGAAUGGCGUAAUGAUGGCCAGGCUGUCUCCACCCGAGACUCAGUGAAAUUGAACUCGCUGUGAAGAUGCAGUGUACCCGCGGCAAGACGGAAAGACCCCGUGAACCUUUACUAUAGCUUGACACUGAACAUUGAGCCUUGAUGUGUAGGAUAGGUGGGAGGCUUUGAAGUGUGGACGCCAGUCUGCAUGGAGCCGACCUUGAAAUACCACCCUUUAAUGUUUGAUGUUCUAACGUGGACCCGUAAUCCGGGUUGCGGACAGUGUCUGGUGGGUAGUUUGACUGGGGCGGUCUCCUCCUAAAGAGUAACGGAGGAGCACGAAGGUUGGCUAAUCCUGGUCGGACAUCAGGAGGUUAGUGCAAUGGCAUAAGCCAGCUUGACUGCGAGCGUGACGGCGCGAGCAGGUGCGAAAGCAGGUCAUAGUGAUCCGGUGGUUCUGAAUGGAAGGGCCAUCGCUCAACGGAUAAAAGGUACUCCGGGGAUAACAGGCUGAUACCGCCCAAGAGUUCAUAUCGACGGCGGUGUUUGGCACCUCGAUGUCGGCUCAUCACAUCCUGGGGCUGAAGUAGGUCCCAAGGGUAUGGCUGUUCGCCAUUUAAAGUGGUACGCGAGCUGGGUUUAGAACGUCGUGAGACAGUUCGGUCCCUAUCUGCCGUGGGCGCUGGAGAACUGAGGGGGGCUGCUCCUAGUACGAGAGGACCGGAGUGGACGCAUCACUGGUGUUCGGGUUGUCAUGCCAAUGGCACUGCCCGGUAGCUAAAUGCGGAAGAGAUAAGUGCUGAAAGCAUCUAAGCACGAAACUUGCCCCGAGAUGAGUUCUCCCUGAGACUUUAAGUCUCCUGAAGGAACGUUGAAGACGACGACGUUGAUAGGCCGGGUGUGUAAGCGCAGCGAUGCGUUGAGCUAACCGGUACUAAUGAACCGUGAGGCUUAACCUU